AGCAGCCGCGGUAAUUCCAGCUCCAAUAGCGUAUAUUAAAGUUGUUGCAGUUAAAAAGCUCGUAGUUGAAUUUCGAGAUCAAAUUGUUGGUCGUGCCUUGGUACGCACUGGCAUUAUUGGUUUCUCCCUUCUGACGAACCAUGAUGUCAUUAAUUUGGUGUCUUGGGGAAUCAGGACUGUUACUUUAGAAAAAAUUAGAGUGUUUAAAGCAGGCUCACGCUUGAAUACAUUAGCAUGGAAUAAUGAAAUAGGACGUUUGAUUCUAUUUUGUUGGUUUCUAGGAUCGACAUAAUGAUUAAUAGGGAUAGUUGGGGGCAUUAGUAUUCAAUUGUCAGAGGUGAAAUUCUUGGAUUUAUUGAAGACUAACUACUGCGUAAAGCAAUUUGCCUAAGGAUGUUUUCAUUAAUCUAAGAACGAAAGUUAGGGGAUCGAAGACGAUCAGAUACCGUCGUAGUCUUAACCAUAAACCUAUGCCGACUAGGGAUCGGAUGAUGUAAUUUUUAAUGACUCAUUC
rnacentral:rRNA from 1 species